GUGAAUGUUUUGGCACAUACAAAUUUUUUCCCUUUGAUUAUUUUACUUGUCAUUUCUAAUGGCUGUUUUCAGUAUUUUACCUGAUUGUGCCCUAGUAUUUAAAUUUCUGCUAAUUUAAAUACUGUCGAUACAUGUGAGGGCACUUAAUUUUUCAAAGCUUUGAUAACAUUGGGUUAUGUCAUUUCUGUGAUUCUUUGUGUUUAGGGGUAGGAUGCCAAAACUUUAUCAUGAACUUUUUAGUCGAGAUGAUGUUUUAACUAGUCUAGAUGUAUAAUGCCUUAAGGCAGCAGUUCUUAAAGUGUGAUUCCCAGACAAGCAUCAACUGGGAACUUGUUCGACCGACCACUUCUCAAGCAAUACCCCAGACCUGAAUCAGAAAUUGUGGAUAGGCUCCUACAGUUUGUGUUUUAACAAGCUUGCCAGGUGAUUCUGAUACAGACCGAAGCUUGAGAACCACUGCCAUAAGGAAUUGCAAAGGUUUACAAGGGCGGCUUGUUUUUAGACGUAUUUAUGGUCCCAAUAAUCAUUGGUUUAAAAUUUUUCACAUUUAGAGAGGAGAUACACAAAUGGGAUUGGAAAAAUUCAGGGAAUCCCUGAUUUACUCCUGUAACUUUCCAUUUCACAAAGGAGAAACCUCAAUUAUUUUUCCAAUGCUUAUGCAGCUGCAGUUAGUGCGGUGGACCCUGAUGCAGGAAAUGGAGAACUUUGCAUUAAGGUUCCAUCAGAGCUGUGGAAACACGUUGAUGAGUUAAAGGUCCUGAAGAUACACAUCAAUUUUUCUCUGGAUCAGCCCAAAGGAGGUCUUCAUUUUGUGGUACCCAGUGUAGAGGGAAGUAUGGCAGAGAGAGGUGCUCAUGUUUUCUCUUGUGGGUAUCAAAAUUCUACAAGAUUUUGGUUUCCUUGUGUUGAUUCAUACUCUGAAUUGUGUACAUGGAAAUUAGAAUUUACAGUAGAUGCUGCAAUGGUUGCUGUUUCUAAUGGCGAUUUGGUGGAGACAGUGUAUACCCAUGAUAUGAGGAAGAAAACUUUCCAUUAUAUGCUUACCAUUCCUACAGCAGCGUCAAAUAUCUCCUUGGCCAUUGGACCAUUUGAAAUACUUGUAGAUCCAUACAUGCAUGAGGUAAGUCAGAGCUCUCCCCUCUUACUCUCCUCUUGGCCUUUUACUGCUUUUAAAACGAUGGAUGUUGACUGGGUGCAGUGGCUCACACCUGUAAUCCCAGCACUUUGGGAGGCCAAGGCAUGUGGAUCACGAGGUCAGGAAAUCGAUCCUGGCCAACACAGCAAAACCCAGUCAUUACUAAAAAUACAAAA
rnacentral:lncRNA from 1 species